ACUGGGACUUCUGGGAAUUGAAGUCCAAAACAAGAUCUGCAGGCGCAAAGGUUGAGAACCACUGUAGCUCAAGACCUUGGAAGACCGGGGAGACCCCAAACUUUGGGCCUCACAAGCGUUUCGGAGCCCCAGGCAGCUUGUAUGCUGCACCCUGCCUCGAGAAAAGGGAAAUAAAAAUCAUCAUUUGUCCAAGAGUGGUAGUGCCACCCUUAGCAAACUACAAAUCCCAGAAUUCCAUAGGAUGGAACUUUGGUGGCAGGGAAAGCUGGGUCAAGCUGUUAUUUCCACAGGCAACAUCCAUCCUCCUGUCUUUGUCUUCCAAGCUGUACUUGCCACCUCAUCUCCAUACCCACAAGGCCUGGAAUUUCAACUGACAUUUUCACAGGCAACUGGCUUAUAUAGGUCUGUCUCUGGAUUUUCCACUCCAAAACAUGGCAUCUGAGGAAGUGGGCUCAAGUCUAAGAAAGCUCACACUACUAGCUUUUCUUUUGGUUAAUCUGAAAGGUGCUACAAAAUCACUUUUGCUUGCUGAUUUUCCAGACUUUUAUGGCUAUAUCUUUGGAUAUUUGCAUUGUUGUUUUAAGUAUUAUACUUAGGCUUGUUUUUGUUAAAAGUAGGCAUAGAAAUGCAUUAACUUUAGGACCUUUGCUCAUGUAUUGAAGAGAGCCAGCGUGGUGUGGUUUGAGGAUUGGGCUGACUUGAGACCAGGGUUCGAAUCCCCAUUUGCCCCAUGGAAAGCCAUGGACUACAAUUCCCACCAGUACUAGCUAGUAUCUCCAGGGCUGAGGAAUGACAGGAGUUAACAAUCCAGUGACUUCUGUUGGGGCUUGCCCACGCUUGUUCCAAAGAAAACAUGGUAGCAAAUGUAGUCAGUGCUAUCCCUUUCUUAUUAAGGGGUCACGACUGCUCCAUUGUUAACAUCUUGCCAAAACUAAAUUUUGAGCUUGGCCUGACUAGUCUGCUGAGGGCCCACCAGUGGGAGUAAUAUAUUGUGGGAGGACAUGGAAGAGGAUCCUGUUUGCUGUGCCACUCCACUGGCAAAUUGUUUCAAACUGUUUUGGUUUUAUUUGUAUGUCCCCUGAGAUCCUAUGAAAAUAGGGCUUGAUACAAAUAUUUUAAUGAAUAAAAUUAAAAUGUCCUUUUUAAAAAA